UACAGAGGUGGCAAGCGUUGUUCGGAAUUACUGGGCGUAAAGCGUGCGCAGGCGGUGAUGUAAGACAGUUGUGAAAUCCCCGGGCUCAACCUGGGAAUUGCAUCUGUGACUGCAUCGCUAGAGUACGGUAGAGGGGGAUGGAAUUCCGCGUGUAGCAGUGAAAUGCGUAGAUAUGCGGAGGAACACCGAUGGCGAAGGCAAUCCCCUGGACCUGUACUGACGCUCAUGCACGAAAGCGUGAGGAGCAAACAGG
rnacentral:rRNA from 1 species